UACAGAGGUGGCAAGCGUUGUUCGGAAUUACUGGGCGUAAAGGGCGCGUAGGCGGCCCGUCAAGUCCUGUGUGAAAUCCCUCGGCUCAACCGAGGAACUGCACCGGAUACUGUCGGGCUUGAGUUCGGGAGAGGGAAGUGGAAUUCCGGGUGUAGCGGUGAAAUGCGCAGAUAUCCGGAGGAACACCAGUGGCGAAGGCGGCUUCCUGGACCGACACUGACGCUGAGGCGCGAAAGCUAGGGGAGCAAACGGG
rnacentral:rRNA from 1 species